rnacentral:rRNA from 1 species
UACGUAGGGGGCGAGCGUUGUCCGGAUUUACUGGGCGUAAAACGCUUGUAGGCGGCCACGCCAAGUCGGGAUGUGAAAUCUCCCGGCUUAACUGGGAGGGGUCAUUCGAUACUGGCGGGCUCGAGGCAGGUAGGGGGGAAGCGGAAUUCCCGGUGUAGUGGUGGAAUGCGUAGAUAUCGGGAGGAACACCAGUGGCGAAGGCGGCUUCCUGGACCUGUUCUGACGCUGAGGAGCGAAAGCGUGGGGAGCGAGUCCGG